UUGGAGAGUUUGAUCCUGGCUCAGGACGAACGCUGGCGGCGCGCCUAAUGCAUGCAAGUCGAGCGACGCAUAUCGGAUGGGUAACCAACUGGUAUGACGGAGCGGCGAACGGGUGAGUAACACGUGAGCAACCUGCCCCAAAGACUGGGAUAGCCCGGGGAAACCCGGAUUAAUACCGGAUACCCUCGCAGGGUCGCAUGACCCAGCGAGGAAACGGUCCGCUACUUUGGGAGGGGCUCGCGGCCUAUCAGCUUGUUGGUGAGGUAACGGCCCACCAAGGCAACGACGGGUAGCUGGUCUGAGAGGACGAUCAGCCACACUGGGACUGAGACACGGCCCAGACUCCUACGGGAGGCAGCAGCAGGGAAUCUUGUCCAAUGGGCGAAAGCCUGAGACAGCGACGCCGCGUGAGGGAUGAAGGCCUUCGGGUUGUAAACCUCUUUCAGGAGGGACGAAUAAUGACGGUACCUCCAGAAGAAGCCCCGGCUAACUACGUGCCAGCAGCCGCGGUAAUACGUAGGGGGCGAGCGUUGUCCGGAUUUAUUGGGCGUAAAGG
rnacentral:rRNA from 1 species